AUCACGCACUCUUUUAAGGGCUUUGCAUCUGUUGAACUCACGGGCUGUCCAUAACAGUCUGCCCCUUAGGUACUACUGUUAUCCUCAUUUUGCAAUGAGGAAAUUCGGGCCCAGAAAGGUUAAGUAGCUCACUUGAGGCCACACCUCGAGGAAGUGGCGGCGCCGGUAUAGGACUACCGAGAUCUUGAGAGGUGGGGUGAAGGGGGGCAUGAAAGGGGCUGGGGAGGAGGGAGCAGAGUGGGGCGCCUUGGUAGCUUGGAGCAGGGGAGCGCAGCGGCAGCGGGGUGGCCCUUCGCCUGGCGUCCCGCUCGCCACCCCGUAUGCCCGCGCGCUGAGCGAGCCGCCCCGAGGCCCCGAGGCUGGGGGGUGGGGGGGUGGAGCGGAGCGCGGGUCUCGGCGCGCGUCUCCCCGGCGGCGCGCGUCCUGCUGGCUCGCCCUCCACCUCCGCGCGGUUCGGGGUCGGGUGCAGAGGCCCCUCAUCCCCGAGCUGCCUUGAGUCCGGGGGAGACGGAAGCGCUGCUCUGUAGCCGGGUCUGGCAGGGCUCGAGGUCCAGGUGGCUUUUGCCUUGUCACCUUUUGAGAGCUCCCCUCGUGCACCCGCUCGUCUGCUCUUCCUCUCCUCCGGAUGCGGGCGGGCGCUCGGGGUGCCGCUCAAGGCUAGGUCAGGACCAGAGCUCGUGCCCUUGGGGAGUGUGACAGGGAAAUACAAGUGAAAACACCUCAAAACAAACAGCAAAAGCUGCAAACCCUUUUGAUAACCCAUUCCGGCGACGUGGAGCUCCCCGAGCCGCGCUGCUCCCCGGAGGAGGAGGCCAGGCCUAAGGGUACUCCCAGAACUGGCAUGGUCAAAUGGGAUGACCGCUUUCACGGCUCUCCUGCAAUCCCAUGCCAAUGAGCUUGCCUUGGCUGGUUAGCAAGCAAGAGGGAAACUGACGUGGAAGAAGAGGACAAGUGGCUCUCGGAGAACAUUGAAACUCAUGAUUCAAUCUUUUCAUUUCCUUUAAGGGAUUUGGUGGCAUCAAAGCUUUUGAGAAUGGUGGUAAUGUUAAAAGUACUAUUGAACAUCAUAAUUUUGACUUGAGGUCAGAUGCAUGAGGGCAAAGAUGAAAUUAGAAAGAGUUGGUCCAUUAGGAGGUGAUUAGAAUAACUCUGGGAUGGUGUUAUGGCUGAUGCCUUGAAGCUGUGAAUGAC
rnacentral:lncRNA from 1 species